GCUCCUGACGGUCACCCUGAUAGGCAAGGUUGUGUGUAUUCCACCGAACAUCUGAGGGUCCUGCCUCCUCCCCAGAGGAAUAAGAAGUGAGAAGCAAAUCCACACAGUCAGAAGAAAGUGCAGCUAUUUCCGAUGCAGCCAGCUAUGUCAGAAAAAUCCUUCGGGACUUGAACUGAAGAGACUCUCUCCAUGCAGAGAAGUCGUAAGAGUGAACACCAUCUAUCCAAAGUGGGAAGAGAGUCAUCUUAAUUUGUCUGACCAGAACAAGCCCUGGGAAGUAAAUUUUCUCUGUGCCCCAAC